CGUGAAGGAUGAAGGCCUUCUGGGUUGUAAACUUCUUUUAUGGGGGAAGAAAACUACGGUUUCUACUGUAGCCGACGGUACCCUAGGAAUAAGCACCGGCUAAACUCCGUGC
rnacentral:rRNA from 1 species